rnacentral:rRNA from 1 species
AAUCAACGCUGGCGGCGUGCCUCAGACAUGCAAGUCGAACGCGAAAGUUCCCUUCGGGGAGCAAGUAGAGUGGCGCACGGGUGAGUAACACAUAGGUAAUUUGCCUUCGGGUGGGGAAUAACAGUCGGAAACGACUGCUAAUACCGCAUAAUGCAGCGGCUCGACAUCGAGACAGUUGUUAAAGCGGGGGAUCCUUCGGGACCUCGCGCCUGAAGAGAAGCCUGCGGCAGAUUAGCUAGUUGGUGAGGUAAUGGCCCACCAAGGCUACGAUCUGUAACCGGCCUGAGAGGGCGGUCGGUCACACUGACACUGACAUACGGGUCAGACUCCUACGGGAGGCAGCAGUCGGGAAUUUUGGGCAAUGGGCGC